rnacentral:sRNA from 1 species
UUAUAUUAUGAUUCUACCUAAGACUCAGGUGGCUUUUGCCUUAAUAUCCUGCCGAGGAGCAAUGUUAAGUUCUCUCUCUGUGUCUUGGUGGACAUAGGGUUUUUUUAUUU